UACGGGGGGGCAAGCGUUGUUCGGAAUUACUGGGCGUAAAGGGCUCGUAGGUGGCCAACUAAGUCAUACGUGAAAUCCCUCGGCUUAACCGGGGAACUGCGUCUGAUACUGGAUGGCUUGAGGUUGGGAGAGGGAUGGCGGAAUUCCACGUGUAGCGGUGAAAUGCGUAGAUAUGUGGAAGAACACCGGUGGCGAAGGCGAUUUUCUAGAUUAUUCCUGACGCUGAUGCGCGAA
rnacentral:rRNA from 1 species